rnacentral:piRNA from 1 species
CUGAUUCACAAUGGUGACUGGUAGAUC